AUUAAAUAUAUUCUAUAUUAAAUCAUUCUAAGGUUCUGACUAUUGCACCAUAGUAUCAAUAAAGAGUAUCAAUAAAGCUGCUAUAAAGAGAAAGUUUAGUUUGGAGUAAAAAGUUAACUUUUAAAGGUCCACAAUUCUGAGGUAUCAUACUGCAAUAUUUAUAUAAAAUUUUGAAGUUAACCCCACCUCAUCUCCACAUACAUACUUACCCCCUUGCUGAAUCAAUAAGAUUAAAUGAAAACUAUUUUAGACAUUCAGACUCUCGAGAUAUCAAUAAAACUUUGUUCAUUAUUCGUAUUAUCAGCACCGUAGCC